rnacentral:tRNA from 1 species
CAUUUCAUAUUUUAUGUAAAAUUUUAAAUUGCAAGUUUAAAGAUAGCAAGUAAAAAGGUUGUUUGAAAUGU